rnacentral:rRNA from 1 species
AUAUCAAUAAGCGGAGGAAAAGAAACCAACAGGGAUUGCCUCAGUAACGGCGAGUGAAGCGGCAACAGCUCAAAUUUGAAAUCUGGCUCCUUUCAGGGUCCGAGUUGUAAUUUGUAGAAGGAUGCUUCGGCGUGGCUCCGGUCUAAGUUCCUUGGAACAGGACGUCAUAGAGGGUGAGAAUCCCGUAUGUGACUCGGCAUGCCUUUGCCCAUGUGAAGCUCUUUCGACGAGUCGAGUUGUUUGGGAAUGCAGCUCUAAAAUGGGUAGGUAAAUUUCAUCUAAAGCUAAAUACCGGCCAGAGACCGAUAGCGCACAAGUAGAGUGAUCGAAAGAUGAAAAGCACUUUGGAAAGAGAGUCAAAAAGUAC